rnacentral:rRNA from 1 species
AGAGUUUGAUCCUGGCUCAGAACGAACGCUGGCGGCGUGGAUUAGACAUGCAAGUCGAACGAGUUUCGUUUGGUAGCAAUACCGAGCGAAGCUAGUGGCGAACGGGUGCGUAACACAUGAGUCAUCUGCCCAGAAGUGGGGAAUAGCUCGGCGAAAGCCGGAUUAAUACCGCAUGUGGUCGUAAGACCAAAGCCGGGGCA